CCUACGGGGAGCAGCAGUGAGGAAUAUUGGUCAAUGGACGCAAGUCUGAACCAGCCAUGCCGCGUGCAGGAAGACGGCUCUAUGAGUUGUAAACUGCUUUUGUACGAGGGUAAACGCAGAUACGCGUAUCUGUCUGAAAGUAUCGUACGAAUAAGGAUCGGCUAACUCCGUGCCAGCAGCCGCGGUAAUACGGAGGAUUCAAGCGUUAUCCGGAUUUAUUGGGUUUAAAGGGUGCGUAUGCGGUCGGAUAAGUUAGAGGUGAAAUCCCGAGGCUCAACUUCGGAAUUGCCUCUGAUACUGUUCGGCGAGAGAGUAGUUGCGGUAGGCGGAAUGUAUGGUGUAGCGGUGAAAUGCUUAGAGAUCAUACAGAACACCGAUUGCGAAGGCAGCUUACCAAGCUACUUCUGACGUUGAGGCACGAAAGCGUGGGGAGCAAACAGGAUUAGAUACCCCUGUAGUC
rnacentral:rRNA from 1 species